UGGCUGCAGUGGGGAAUAUUGGACAAUGGGCGAAAGCCUGAUCCAGCCAUGCCGCGUGUGUGAAGAAGGUCUUCGGAUUGUAAAGCACUUUAAGUUGGGAGGAAGGGCAGUAAAUUAAUACUUUGCUGUUUUGACGUUACCGACAGAAUAAGCACCGGCUAACUCUGUGCCAGCAGCCGCGGUAAUACAGAGGGUGCAAGCGUUAAUCGGAAUUACUGGGCGUAAAGCGCGCGUAGGUGGUUAGUUAAGUUGGAUGUGAAAUCCCCGGGCUCAACCUGGGAACUGCAUUCAAAACUGACUGACUAGAGUAUGGUAGAGGGUGGUGGAAUUUCCUGUGUAGCGGUGAAAUGCGUAGAUAUAGGAAGGAACACCAGUGGCGAAGGCGACCACCUGGACUGAUACUGACACUGAGGUGCGAAAGCGUGGGGAGCAAACAGGAUUAGAUACCCGUGUAGUC
rnacentral:rRNA from 1 species